rnacentral:misc_RNA from 1 species
UCCUCCAAAGUACUUUCUCUUUCCUGACCCACUAUCAGGAACUUAAUCAGUAGUCUUUCUAAUUUUCUCUUUUUCUUCUGUACCCUUUUCAGCUGUUUCUUCAUUCUCAAUUCUUUCCAGUUCCAGGGCUUGCGAUAUUAGCUCUUGAGAAAUUCUAGUAUCGGAACCCCACAACUUGCAUUCUUAGACUAAGCCUUAACCUGGCCUCAAAACGUUUACAUCUGUCUCUAGGAGUGGUAAGUAGGCUUCCUGCAUAAUGACUCAAUCGAGAGAAGUUUCUCUCAUAUUCUGCCACUGUUCUGUUCCUUUGUUUCAGGCUUAAGAACUCCUGUAACUUUUGGUCCACAUAGGCAUCUGGUACAUAUUUUUGUCUGAACUCUCUGAGAAAGUUGUUCUAUGUCAGCACUGAAGGUUCCACCAA